AGAGUUUGAUCCUGGCUCAGACGAACGCUGGCGGCAGGCUUAACACAUGCAAGUCGAACGCACCGCAAGGUGAGUGGCAGACGGGUGAGUAACGCGUGGGAACGUGCCCUUCAGUUCGGGAUAACCCAGGGAAACUUGGGCUAAUACCGGAUACGUGCGAGAGCAGAAAGAUUUAUCGCUGAAGGAUCGGCCCGCGUCUGAUUAGCUAGUUGUAGGGUAAUGCCUACCAAGCGACGAUCAGUAGCUCUGAGAGGAUGAUCAGCCACAUUGGGACUGAGACACGGCCCAAACUCCUACGGGAGGCAGCAGUGGGGAAUAUUGGACAAUGGGCGCAAGCCUGAUCCAGCCAUGCCGCGUGAGUGAUGAAGGCCUUAGGGUUGUAAAGCUCUUUCGUCCGGGGACGAUAAUGACGGUACCGGAAGAAGAAGCCCCGGCUACUUCGUGCCAGCAGCCGCGGUAAUACGAAGGGGGCUAGCGUUGUUCGGAAUCACUGGGCGUAAAGGGCGCGUAGGCGGCCUGAUAAGUCGGGGGUGAAAGCCUGUGGCUCAACCACAGAAUUGCCUUCGAUACUGUCGGGCUUGAGACCGGAAGAGGUAAGUGGAACUGCGAGUGUAGAGGUGAAAUUCGUAGAUAUUCGCAAGAACACCAGUGGCGAAGGCGGCUUACUGGUCCGGUUCUGNNGCUGAGNNGCGAAAGCGUGGGGAGCAAACAGGAUUAGAUACCCUAGUAGUCC
rnacentral:rRNA from 1 species